rnacentral:hammerhead_ribozyme from 1 species
AUGCAGCUGACGAGUCCCAAAUUGGACGAAACACGCGUCCUGGAU